rnacentral:rRNA from 1 species
UGGGGAAUAUUGCACAAUGGGGGAAACCCUGAUGCAGCGACGCCGCGUGAGUGAAGAAGUAUUUCGGUAUGUAAAGCUCUAUCAGCAGGGAAGAAAAAGGACGGUACCUGACUAAGAAGCCCCGGCUAACUACGUGCCAGCAGCCGCGGUAAUACGUAGGGGGCAAGCGUUAUCCGGAUUUACUGGGUGUAAAGGGAGCGUAGACGGCUGUGCAAGUCUGAAGUGAAAGCCCGCGGCUCAACUGCGGAAUUGCUUUGGAAACUGUAUAGCUUGAGUAUCGGAGGGGUAAGCGGAAUUCCUAGUGUAGCGGUGAAAUGCGUAGAUAUUAGGAGGAACACCGGUGGCGAAGGCGGCUUACUGGACGAUAACUGACGUUGAGGCUCGAAAGCGUGGGGAGCAAACAGG